CUCUUAUCAUAAGAAGUUUUAACAAACUCCUCAAAUGGACUGUUCAUCUCUUUGAAACUGUAGCCUGAGAGAAGAGUAACAUG
rnacentral:tRNA from 1 species